UACGUAGGGUGCGAGCGUUGUCCGGAUUUAUUGGGCGUAAAGGGCUCGUAGGUGGUUUGUCGCGUUGUUCGUGAAAACUCACAGCUUAACUGUGGGCGUGCGGGCGAUACGGGCAGGCUAGAGUGCGGUAGGGGAGAAUGGAACUCCUGGUGUAGCGGUGGAAUGCGCAGAUAUCAGGAAGAACACCGAUGGCGAAGGCAGUUCUCUGGGCCGUAACUGACGCUGAGGAGCGAAAGCGUGGGGAGCGAACAGG
rnacentral:rRNA from 1 species